rnacentral:lncRNA from 1 species
AAAAAGUAUGUAUAUAUAUUAAAAUAUUGAUUCUUCAAUUUAUUUAUAAUAUCUAAACUAUUCACACAAUAUAACCAAUUUCAUUUUAUAUUUUGUUACAUGUUUUUUUCUAAAAAGAAAAGAAAACUCUAAUACACAAGUUAUUUUAAAAAAUUCUCUACAUUAAACUAAUUUAGUAAUAUUAAAAUUACGCAACUCUAAACUAAUUAAAUAAUAUUUUUAAUAAAUUACUUCAAUUAA